rnacentral:rRNA from 1 species
GGUUAGUGGCGGACGGGUGAGUAACACGUGGGAACGUGCCUUUAGGUUCGGAAUAAGCUCGGGAAACUGGGUCUAAUACCGAAUGUGCCCUUCGGGGGAAAGAUUUAUCGCCUUUAGAGCGGCCCGCGUCUGAUUAGCUAGUUGGUGGUGUAAUGGACCACCAAGGCGACGAUCAGUAGCUGGUCUGAGAGGAUGACCAGCCACAUUGGGACUGAGACACGGCCCAAACUCCUACGGGAGGCAGCAGUGGGGAAUUUUGGACAAUGGACGCAAGUCUGAUCCAGCAAUGCCGCGUGCAGGACGAAGGCCUUCGGGUUGUAAACUGCUUUUGUACGGAACGAAACGGUCUGCUUUAAUACAGUGGGCUAAUGACGGUACCGUAAGAAUAAGCACCGGCUAACUACGUGCCAGCAGCCGCGGUAAUACGUAGGGUGCGAGCGUUAAUCGGAAUUACUGGGCGUAAAGCGUGCGCAGGCGGUUAUAUAAGACAGAUGUGAAAUCCCCGGGCUCAACCUGGGACCUGCAUUUGUGA